UGAUCGACAGAGGGUACCCUGGUAAACUGGUGGAGGAAGCUUAUCGUAAAACGAGAGACUGGGAAGGUACAAAGUCCAAAAAGAAAAAAAGAGAAGAAAGCCUAAAGACACCAUCCAGAAAAAGAAACAUGGAAGAAGAGGACACAGAGGAGGAAGAAGAAACCGAAAAAGGAACACAGAAAAAGAAGGAAAUGACGUUUCCUGGAACGCAUGGUGGAGCCAUGUGAUCGGGCGCCGACCGGAAGUCCGUCACAUGCUGCACGAUGCCGCCCGGAAGACCCAGACACGAGAAGACCCAGAGGAAAGAUAUUUAUAUCGUAUGUA